rnacentral:rRNA from 1 species
GUUCGGUCCCUAUCCGCCGUGGGCGUAGGAAAUUUGAGAGGAGCUGUCCUUAGUACGAGAGGACCGGGAUGGACCAACCUCUGGUGCACCAGUUGUUCCGCCAGGAGCACAGCUGGGUAGCUAUGUUGGGAAGGGAUAAACGCUGAAAGCAUCUAAGCGUGAAGCCCACCUCAAGAUUAGAUUUCCCAUAGCGUAAGCUAGUAAGACCCCUGAAAGACUAUCAGGUUGAUAGGUUGGAGGUGUAAGUACAGUAAUGUAUUCAGCUGACCAAUACUAAUAGGUCGAGGGCUUGAUCAAAUU